rnacentral:lncRNA from 1 species
CCAUCGCGUGAACUAAACUUCUUCCAUCAAUCCCUUCCUCUUCUUCCAUCGUUCCCCUUCCAUUGUUCUCAUUCCAUCGAUUUCUUCCUCUUCCUCCAUCACGUGAACUAAUCUCACAAAAAAACCCUAAUCCCUUUCAUCGAUUUACUCGGGUUUGUAAUCAAAACAAAGAUUGAAGCUCUCAACUGGCUGUGAUUGAAGCUCUCAGUUGGACUGGCU